AACGUAGGAGGCAAGCGUUAUCCGGAAUAACUGGGCGUAAACGGAGUCUAGGCGGACGGGAAAGCGGGGUGUGAAAGCUCCUGGCUUAACUGGGAGAGCGCGCUCUGAACUCCCCGACUAGAGUACAGGCGGCGGAGGUGGAAUUCCCGGUGGAGUGGUGAAAUGCGUAGAGAUCGGGAAGAACACCAGUGGCGAAGGCGGCCUACGGGCCUGAAACUGACGCUAAAGCACGACGGCUAGGGGAGCAAACGGG
rnacentral:rRNA from 1 species